rnacentral:tRNA from 1 species
GCUCCCGUGGCACAGCUGGAUAGAGCAGCCCCCUCCUAAGGGGCAGGUCACAGGUUCAAAUCCUGUCGGGAGCGCCA